rnacentral:misc_RNA from 1 species
UACUGAGGGUGCAAGCGUUAAUCGGAAUUACUGGGCGUAAAGCGGGCGUAGGUGGCGAGAUAAGCCGGUUGUGAAAGCCCCGGGCUCAACCUGGGAACGGCAUCCGGAACUGCCAGGCUAGAGUACAGGAGAGGAAGGUAGAAUUCCCGGUGUAGCGGUGAAAUGCGUAGAGAUCGGGAGGAAUACCAGUGGCGAAGGCGGCCUUCUGGACUGACACUGACACUGAGGUGCGAAAGCGUGGGUAGCAAAAAGG